UGGGGAAUCUUGGACAAUGGGCGCAAGCCUGAUCCAGCCAUGCCGCGUGAGUGAUGAAGGCCUUAGGGUUGUAAAGCUCUUUUUGUCGGGGACGAUAAUGACGGUACCCGGAGAAUAAGUCCCGGCUAACUUCGUGCCAGCAGCCGCGGUAAUACGAAGGGGACUAGCGUUGUUCGGAAUCACUGGGCGUAAAGCGCACGUAGGCGGAUUUGUAAGUCAGGGGUGAAAUCCCGGGGCUCAACCUCGGAACUGCCUUUGAUACUGCGGAUCUCGAGUCCGAUAGAGGUGAGUGGAAUUCCUAGUGUAGAGGUGAAAUUCGUAGAUAUUAGGAAGAACACCGGUGGCGAAGGCGGCUCACUGGAUCGGUACUGACGCUGAGGUGCGAAAGCGUGGGGAGCAAACAGGAUUAGAUACCCAUGUAGUCCCUGAGCGGGCUGGCAAGGCGCAU
rnacentral:rRNA from 1 species